rnacentral:rRNA from 1 species
GUGGGGAAUAUUGGACAAUGGGCGAAAGCCUGAUCCAGCCAUGCCGCGUGUGUGAAGAAGGUCUUCGGAUUGUAAAGCACUUUAAGUUGGGAGGAAGGGCAGUAAGUUAAUACCUUGCUGUUUUGACGUUACCGACAGAAUAAGCACCGGCUAACUUCGUGCCAGCAGCCGCGGUAAUACGAAGGGUGCAAGCGUUAAUCGGAAUUACUGGGCGUAAAGCGCGCGUAGGUGGUUUUGUAAGUUAGAGGUGAAAUCCCCGGGCUCAACCUGGGAACUGCCUCCAAAACUGCAUGACUAGAGUACGGUAGAGGGUAGUGGAAUUUCCUGUGUAGCGGUGAAAUGCGUAGAUAUAGGAAGGAACACCAGUGGCGAAGGCGACUACCUGGACUGAUACUGACACUGAGGUGCGAAAGCGUGGGGAGCAAACAGGAUUAGAUACCCCAGUAGUCC